rnacentral:rRNA from 1 species
UACGAAGGGUGCAAACGUUGCUCGGAAUUAUUGGGCGUAAAGCGCACGUAGGCGGCUCUUCAAGUCUGAUGUGAAAUCCCGUGGCUUAACCAUGGAAGUGCGUCGGAAACUGGAAAGCUUGAGUACUUAAGAGGAUCGCGGAAUUCCCGGUGUAGAGGUGAAAUUCGUAGAUAUCGGGAGGAACACCAGUGGCGAAGGCGGCGAUCUGGGAAGAUACUGACGCUGAGGUGCGAAAGCGUGGGGAGCAAACAGG